rnacentral:rRNA from 1 species
UGGGGAAUUUUGGACAAUGGGCGCAAGCCUGAUCCAGCCAUGCCGCGUGAGUGAAGAAGGCCUUCGGGUUGUAAAGCUCUUUCGGCGGGGACGAAACGGUUCGUGACAACACCACGGACUAAUGACGGUACCCGCAUAAGAAGCACCGGCUAACUACGUGCCAGCAGCCGCGGUAAUACGUAGGGUGCAGGCGUUAAUCGGAAUUACUGGGCGUAAAGGGCUCGUAGGCGGCCAACUAAGUCAGACGUGAAAUCCCUCGGCUUAACCGGGGAACUGCGUCUGAUACUGGAUGGCUUGAGGUUGGGAGAGGGAUGCGGAAUUCCAGGUGUAGCGGUGAAAUGCGUAGAUAUCUGGAGGAACACCGGUGGCGAAGGCGACAUCCUGGACCAAUUCUGACGCUGAGGAGCGAAAGCCAGGGGAGCAAACGGGAUUAGAUACCCACGUAGUCCCUGAGCGGGCUGGCAAGGCGCAU